rnacentral:tRNA from 1 species
GAAGUGUUAGUAAAUUAUUACAUUACCUUGUCAAGGUAAAAUAAUAGGUUAAACCCCUGUACAUUUCC